GUUUCACUCUUGUUUCACAGGCUAGAGUAUAAUGGUCUGAUCUCGGCUACUACAACCUCUGCCUCCUGGGUUCAAGUAAUUCUCCUGCCUCAGCCUCCAGAGUAGCUGGGAUUACAGGCGCC